rnacentral:rRNA from 1 species
UACGAAGGGGGCUAGCGUUGCUCGGAAUCACUGGGCGUAAAGCGCACGUAGGCGGAUUGUUAAGUCAGGGGUGAAAUCCUGGAGCUCAACUCCAGAACUGCCUUUGAUACUGGCGAUCUCGAGUCCGGGAGAGGUGAGUGGAACUGCGAGUGUAGAGGUGAAAUUCGUAGAUAUUCGCAAGAACACCAGUGGCGAAGGCGGCUUACUGGCCCGGUACUGACGCUGAGGUGCGAAAGCGUGGGGAGCAAACAGG